UGCCAGCAGCCGCGGUAAUACGGAGGGGGUUAGCGUUGUUCGGAAUUACUGGGCGUAAAGCGCACGUAGGCGGAUCAGAAAGUAUGGGGUGAAAUCCCAGGGCUCAACCCUGGAACUGCCUCAUAAACUCCUGGUCUAGAGUUCGAGAGAGGUGAGUGGAAUUCCGAGUGUAGAGGUGAAAUUCGUAGAUAUUCGGAGGAACACCAGUGGCGAAGGCGGCUCACUGGGCUGAUACCGACGCUGAGGUGCGAAAGUGUGGGGAGCAAACAGGAUUAGAUA
rnacentral:rRNA from 1 species